rnacentral:rRNA from 1 species
UCUGCCUGGUAGUGGGGGAUAACGUCCGGAAACGGACGCUAAUACCGCAUACGUCCUACGGGAGAAAGCAGGGGACCUUCGGGCCUUGCGCUAUCAGAUGAGCCUAGGUCGGAUUAGCUAGUUGGUGGGGUAAUGGCUCACCAAGGCGACGAUCCGUAACUGGUCUGAGAGGAUGAUCAGUCACACUGGAACUGAGACACGGUCCAGACUCCUACGGGAGGCAGCAGUGGGGAAUAUUGGACAAUGGGCGAAAGCCUGAUCCAGCCAUGCCGCGUGUGUGAAGAAGGUCUUCGGAUUGUAAAGCACUUUAAGUUGGGAGGAAGGGCAGUAAAUUAAUACUUUGCUGUUUUGACGUUACCGACAGAAUAAGCACCGGCUAACUCUGUGCCAGCAGCCGCGGUAAUACAGAGGGUGCAAGCGUUAAUCGGAAUUACUGGGCGUAAAGCGCGCGUAGGUGGUUCGUUAAGUUGGAUGUGAAAUCCCCGGGCUCAACCUGGGAACUGCAUUCAAAACUGACGAGCUAGAGUAUGGUAGAGGGUGGUGGAAUUUCCUGUGUAGCGGUGAAAUGCGUAGAUAUAGGAAGGAACACCAGUGGCGAAGGCGACCACCUGGACUGAUACUGACACUGAGGUGCGAAAGCGUG